GAUGGUUUUGAGCAGCAUGAGAGCAAGGGGAUAGGAGACUGGAAGAAGAAGCCAGAUGUGUGUUUCUAAAGAGUUCUGGAGUAUGACAACAUUCAGACACAGUGAAAUUUGCCAAAAAAAGAGAAGAAAGAGAGAGAGAGAUGAGGGGGAGAGGAAGGAAGGAAGGAAGAAGAAAGUGAGGAAAGAAGGAAAGAAAGAAGGAGAAGAAAAACCUAGAGAUGAAAUAGAAUUAAUGAUUCUAAAC
rnacentral:lncRNA from 1 species